rnacentral:tRNA from 2 species
UAUAAGAUGCCUGAAUAAAGGGUAAUUUUGAUAGAAUUAAUCAUGUGAAUAAUCACUCUUAUAA